GAUGAACGCUGGCGGCGUGCCUAAUACAUGCAAGUCGAGCGAACGGACGAGAAGCUUGCUUCUCUGAUGUUAGCGGCAGACGGGUGAGUAACACGUGGAUAACCUACCUAUAAGACUGGGAUAACUUCGGGAAACCGGAGCUAAUACCGGAUAAUAUUUUGAACCGCAUGGUUCAAAAGUGAAAGACGGUCUUGCUGUCACUUAUAGAUGGAUCCGCGCUGCAGUAGCUAGUUGGUAAGGCAACGGCUUACCAAGGCAACGAUGCAUAGCCGACCUGAGAGGGUGAUCGGCCACACUGGAACUGAGACACGGUCCAGACUCCUACGGGAGGCAGCAGUAGGGAAUCUUCCGCAAUGGGCGAAAGCCUGACGGAGCAACGCCGCGUGAGUGAUGAAGGUCUUCGGAUCGUAAAACUCUGUUAUUAGGGAAGAACAUAUGUGUAAGUAACUGUGCACAUCUUGACGGUACCUAAACAGAAAGCCACGGCUAACUACGUG
rnacentral:rRNA from 1 species